rnacentral:rRNA from 1 species
GACGAACGCUGGCGGCGUGCUUAACACAUGCAAGUCGAACGGAAAGGCCCUGCUUUUGUGGGGUGCUCGAGUGGCGAACGGGUGAGUAACACGUGAGUAACCUGCCCUUGACUUUGGGAUAACUUCAGGAAACUGGGGCUAAUACCGGAUAGGAGCUCCUGCUGCAUGGUGGGGGUUGGAAAGUUUCGGCGGUUGGGGAUGGACUCGCGGCUUAUCAGCUUGUUGGUGGGGUAGUGGCUUACCAAGGGUUUGACGGGUAGCCGGCCUGAGAGGGUGACCGGCCACAUUGGGACUGAGAUACGGCCCAGAAUCCUACGGGAGGCAGCAGUGGGGAAUAUUGCACAAUGGGCGGAAGCCUGAUGCAGCAACGCCGCGUGCGGGAUGACGGCCUUCGGGUUGUAAACCGCUUUCGCCUGUGACGAAGCGUGAGUGACGGUAAUGGGUAAAGAAGCACCGGCUAACUACGUG